rnacentral:rRNA from 1 species
UACGUAGGGGGCAAGCGUUGUCCGGAAUCAUUGGGCGUAAAGCGCGUGUAGGCGGCUUGGUAAGUCUGGUGUGAAACCUCGGGGCUCAACCCCGAGCCUGCACUGGAUACUGCCUCGCUUGAGUCCGGGAGGGGAGAGCGGAAUUCCUAGUGUAGCGGUGAAAUGCGCAGAUAUUAGGAAGAACACCGGUGGCGAAGGCGGCUCUCUGGACUGAUACUGACACUGAGGUGCGAAAGCGUGGGGAGCAAACAGG